AUUGAACGCUGGCGGCAGGCCUAACACAUGCAAGUCGAACGAGGGGCGGACGGGUGAGUAGUGACUUGGAAACUGCCUGAUGGAGGGGGAUAACCACUGGAAACGGUAGCUAAUACUGCAUACCAUCAGAUGUGCCCAGAUGGGAUUAGCUAGUUGGUGGGGUAACGGCUCACCAAGGCGACGAUCCCUAGCUGGUCUGAGAGGAUGACCAGCCACACUGGACCUGAAACACGGUCCAGACUUCUGCGGGAGGCACCACGGGGGAAGAUUGCACAACGGGUGUAAUCCUCAGCAAGCUAAGCCGCGUAUAAGAAACAGGCCUUCGGGUCGUAAAGUACUUUCAGCGGGGACGCGUUACCCGCAGAAUAAGCACCGGCUAACUACGUGCCAGCAGCCGCGGUAAUUC
rnacentral:rRNA from 1 species